rnacentral:snRNA from 1 species
UUACACACACCACUAACUUGUGA